AGCGCCAAUUGAUAAUGUGGCCCAAGUGAUUUCAGAUGACUAUUGCAAUCACACCUCUGUUCUGCUACUUAUCUACAGCUGCAUCAUAGUUCACUUUAAACCCAUCUCAAGGAGGUGGGAGCCAAGUGUGAUGGAAGACGUGAGUAUCUCGAGGGACCACUCUAUUUUGUGCAUUUGUUCACAUAAAUUCCUCUUUCCUCAUGAGCAACUAUCGCG
rnacentral:misc_RNA from 1 species